GCGCCCGUAGCUCAAUGGAUAGAGUAUCUGGCUUCGAACCAGACGGUUGGGGGUUCGAGUCCCUCCGGGCGUA
rnacentral:tRNA from 1 species